rnacentral:rRNA from 1 species
AUGCCGGCGAGCGGCGGACGGGUGAGUAAUGCCUAGGAAUCUGCCUGGUAGUGGGGGAUAACUCGGGGAAACUCGAGCUAAUACCGCAUACGUCCUACGGGAGAAAGCGGGGGAUCUUCGGACCUCGCGCUACCAGAUGAGCCUAGGUCGGAUUAGCUAGUUGGUGAGGUAAAGGCUCACCAAGGCGACGAUCCGUAGCUGGUCUGAGAGGAUGAUCAGCCACACUGGAACUGAGACACGGUCCAGACUCCUACGGGAGGCAGCAGUGGGGAAUAUUGGACAAUGGGCGAAAGCCUGAUCCAGCCAUGCCGCGUGUGUGAAGAAGGUCUUCGGAUUGUAAAGCACUUUAAGUUGGGAGGAAGGGCAGUAAGCUAAUACCUUGCUGUUUUGACGUUACCGACAGAAUAAGCACCGGCUAACUUCGUGCCAGCAGCCGCGGUAAUACGAAGGGUGCAAGCGUUAAUCGGAAUUACUGGGCGUAAAGCGCGCGUAGGUGGUUUGAUAAGUUGGAUGUGAAAGCCCCGGGCUCAACCUGGGAAUUGCAUCCAAAACUGUCUGACUAGAGUA